AAAAACAUGGCCUUUUGGUUAUAAUUUAAGGUCUAACCUGCCCAAUGAAUUUUUAAAUGGCCGCGGUAUUUUGACCGUGCAAAGGUAGCAUAAUCAUUAGUUUUUUAAUUGAAAGCUGGAAUGAAGGGUUGGAUGAAAAAAUUACUGUCUCUGUUUAAAUUAAUUAGAAAUUUAUAUUUAAGUAAAAAAGCUUAAAUUUUAAUAGAAGACGAGAAGACCCUAUAGAGUUUUAUUAAUUUUUAUUAAAAAAAUUUUAGUAUUAAUAGUUUUUUCUUUAAAAUUUAAUUUAAUUGGGGUGAUUAAAAAAUUAAAAAAACUUUUUUUUUAUUAGAACAUUUAUUUAUGAAUAGUUGAUCCUUUAAUUAAGAUUAUAAGAAUAAAUUACCUUAGGGAUAACAGCGUAAUUUUUCUAAAGAGUUCAAAUCGAAAGAAAAGAUUGCGACCUCGAUGUUGGAUUAAAAUAAAAUUUUGGUGUAGAAGCUAAAAAAUUUAGGUCUGUUCGACCUUUAAAAUUUUACUUGAUCUGA
rnacentral:rRNA from 1 species